rnacentral:rRNA from 2 species
UAGACCUCAAAUCAGGCAGGA